CACGUCACGUGCACUAUUUGACAGUGACAAUAAUCAUAUGACACUUGGGUGAGGUGUUUUUAUCCCGUGAGAUAUUUUUGCAGUCCUUUUAAUAAAAUUCUUCAUAAUUCACCAUGAAGGGCUGCGUUUUCAACAUCGACAACGGUUAUUUGGAAGGCCUGUGUCGUGGCUUUAAAUGUGGGAUCCUGAAACAAUCCGAUUAUUUGAAUUUGGUCCAGUGUGAAACUCUUGAAGAUUUAAAACUGCACUUGCAAGGCACUGACUAUGGAACUUUUUUGGCCAAUGAACCUUCACCUUUGUCAGUAUCCGUCAUCGAUUCAAGACUUCGAGAAAAACUCGUGAUUGAGUUCCAGCACAUGCGUAACCAAGCAGUAGAGCCUCUCUCGACAUUUAUGGACUUCAUUACCUACAGUUACAUGAUCGACAACAUAAUUUUGCUUAUUACAGGAACUCUUCACCAGAGACCAAUCAGUGAAUUAAUCCCUAAAUGUCACCCUCUAGGUAGCUUCGAGCAAAUGGAAGCCAUCCACGUAGCUGCUACUCCAGCUGAGUUAUACAACGCUGUAUUGGUGGACACACCACUUGCUCCAUUCUUCGUUGAUUGCAUCAGUGAACAAGAUUUGGAUGAAAUGAACAUUGAAAUCAUCAGAAACACCUUAUACAAAGCUUACUUGGAAGCAUUUUAUACCUUCUGCAAAGAAAUUGGAGGUACUACUGCCGAUAGCAUGUGUGAAAUUUUGGCUUUUGAGGCAGAUAGACGUGCUAUUAUUAUUACCAUCAACUCGUUUGGCACUGAAUUAAGCAAAGAUGACCGUGCUAAGUUGUACCCUCGCUGUGGAAGACUCAACCCCGAUGGUUUGGCUGCUCUAGUAAGAGCCGAGGACUACGACCAAGUUAAAGCAGUUGCUGAAUACUACGCUGAAUAUUCUAAACUGUUUGAAGGAGCUGGCAACAACCCGGGAGACAAAACAUUGGAAGACAAAUUCUUUGAAUACGAAGUACGUCUUAACAUUAAUGCUUUCAUGCAACAGUUUCACUUUGGGGUGUUCUACUCGUACUUGAAAUUGAAGGAACAGGAAUGCAGAAAUAUUGUAUGGAUUGCUGAAUGCGUAGCUCAAAAACACAGGGCUAAAAUCGAUAACUACAUCCCAAUAUUCUAAAGGAAUUUCUUGUUUGCACUAUUGUUUGCAUUCCAUUUGGCUCAUUUAGUUCUUAGUGUCAGUAAGUGGAAUUAUCAAAAGUAUCAGUUUCUAUGAUUCACAUGUACUAUUCAGACCUUCAGACAACUCCAAUCAACUACAUCUUUCAGUCGUCCAAGAUUGUUAUAAAAUUAAAUAUACAUUAAAUGUGUUGAUGUUUUAACAAUACAUAGCAAAUCCGCAAAAAGAACAAUAAAAA
rnacentral:misc_RNA from 1 species